rnacentral:tRNA from 1 species
GCGCCCAUCGUCUAAUCGGUUAGGACAUCACCCUUUCACGGUGAAGAUUACGGGUUCGAGUCCCGUUGGGCGUG